GACGAACGCUGGCGGCGUGCUUAACACAUGCAAGUCGAACGGAAAGGCCCUGCUUUUGUGGGGUGCUCGAGUGGCGAACGGGUGAGUAACACGGGAGUAACCUGCCCUUGACUUUGGUAAAUUUCAGGGAACCUGGGUUUAAUCCCGAAACGGAGCUCGUGGUCCGGGGGGGGGGUUGAAAAGUUUCGGCGCUUGGGGAUGGACUCGCGGCUUAUCGGCUUGUUGGUGGGGUAGUGGCUUACCAAGGCUUUGCCGGGUAGCCGGCCUGAGAGGGUGACCGGCCACAUUGGGACUGAGAUACGGCCCAGACUCCUACGGGAGGCAGCAGUGGGGAAUAUUGCACAAUGGGCGGAAGCCUGAUGCAGCAACGCCGCGUGCGGGAUGACGGCCUUCGGGUUGUAAACCGCUUUCGCCUGUGACGAAGCGUGAGUGACGGUAAUGGGUAAAGAAGCACCGGCUAACUACGUG
rnacentral:rRNA from 1 species